rnacentral:rRNA from 1 species
AACGUAAGGAGACAAACGUUAUCCGGAGUUACUGGCGUAAAGGGCGUGUAGGUGGUUUCGUAAGUCUGGCGUGAAAUUCUCGGCUUAACCGAGGCAGGUCGUCGGAUACUGCGGAACUUGAGGACGGUAGAGGCGUGGUGGAAUUCCGGGUGUAGUGGUGAAAUGCGUAGAGAUCCGGAGGAACACCAGUGGCGAAGGCGACACGCUGGGCCGUACCGUGACACUGAUGCGCGACAGCAUGGGGAGCAAACAGG